rfam:Hordeum vulgare subsp. vulgare, WGS project CAJW01000000 data, contig: morex_contig_55794
GAUAUACUCCCUCCAUCCGAAAAUACUUGUUGGAUGUAUCUAGAUGUAUUUUAGUUUUAGAUACAUCCAUUUUUGUGACAAGUAAUUCCGGACGGAGGGAGUACUUC